rnacentral:rRNA from 1 species
GAUGAACGCUAGCGGCAGGCUUAAUACAUGCAAGUCGUGGGGCAGCAGGACUGUAGCAAUACAGUUGCUGGCGACCGGCAAACGGGUGCGGAACACGUACGCAACUUACCCUGAACUGGGGGAUAGCCCGGGGAAACCCGGAUUAAUACCCCGUAAUAUAAUGGAGUGGCAUCACUUUAUUAUUAAAGCUCCGGCGGUUCGGGAUGGGCGUGCGGCUGAUUAGGUAGUUGGUUGAGGUAACGGCUCACCAAGCCUACGAUCAGUAACUGGUGUGGGAGCAGGACCAGUAACAGGGGGACGGAGACACGGGCCCGAAUCCUACGGGAGGGAGGAGAAAGGAAUAGGGGGGAAUGGGGGCAACUCGGACCCAGCCAGGCCGCGUGGAGGAGGAAGGCCCUGUGGGUUGUAAACUUCUUUUAUGGGGGAAAAAAACUGUGUAUUUUUACGGAGUUGACGGUACACUAGGAAAAAACACCGGCUAACUCCGU